GCGUCGGUAGUGCAACGGGUUAAAGCACGCGCAUCCAGAUAGGGUGAAGUGCGGAUUCGAGUCCCGUCUGACGCA